rnacentral:rRNA from 1 species
CGGCGGACGGGUGAGUAACGCGUGGGUAACCUGCCUCAUACAGGGGGAUAACAGUUAGAAAUGACUGCUAAUACCGCAUAAGCGCACAGGACCGCAUGGUCCGGUGUGAAAAACUCCGGUGGUAUGAGAUGGACCCGCGUCUGAUUAGCUGGUUGGCGGGGUAACGCCCACCAAGGCGACGAUCAGUAGCCGACCUGAGAGGGUGGCCGGCCACAUUGGGACUGAGACACGGCCCAAACUCCUACGGGAGGCAGCAG